rnacentral:rRNA from 1 species
CAGUCGCCGCGGUAAUACGGAGGGUGCAAGCGUUAAUCGGAAUUACUGGGCGUAAAGCGCACGCAGGCGGUCUGACAAGUCAGAUGUGAAAUCCCCGGGCUUAACCUGGGAACUGCAUUUGAAACUGUCAGGCUGGAGUCUUGUAGAGGGGGGUAGAAUUCCAGGUGUAGCGGUGAAAUGCGUAGAGAUCUGGAGGAAUACCGGUGGCGAAGGCGGCCCCCUGGGCCUGUACUGACGCUCAUGCACGAAAGCGUGGGGAGCAAACAGGAUUAGAUACCCCUGUAGUCCCUGUCUCUUAUAC